CCCCGGCUGAGAGCAUCUUCCUCUCCCUGCCUGGCCGGCCGACGAGGCAGAGGCGGCCAUCAUGCCGCCACUCUCCCCUGGCAAGCAGCCAUCAGGCGCCCUCCUCCCCUUCUGAGGCGUUGCGCUUGCGCCUUUCUCUCCAUCCCGAUUCGGCGCCCUCCUCUCCCUCCCGAGCAGCACGCAGGGCCAUGGGAGAGCCGAUGGGAGGAGUUCGGUGCCCCUUCUCCUUCCCAAGGUGAUUAUUUGUACGGAGGAUAUGAGCGCCCUCCUCUCCCUCCUGAUGCAACAUGGUCGUCGGAGGAUACGACGCAGCCGAUGCUCCCUUCCGGUUGCAUCUACGGACAGGUGCAUAUGCUCCCUUCCGGAUGCAUCUACGGACAGGUGCAUCGCCGGUCACGUCGGGAACCUGUAUCUCUCUCUGCAGGACGCUGUGACGUCUAGGGCAUUUUGCAUCUGCACAAGAUGGCAUUGCUACAAAAUGUGUAGAUGGAUAAGAUGUGCAGUGACUUGCCAAUUUACAAUUUAAUCUACUGGUUAGAUCUUUCUUCAAUUGACACUACACAACUAUCAGGUUUUCAGAUGUAUAUAUCCAGAGGGCUUUAUACAUCAGAUGACAUUGGUGGUGAGAGAGAUUGGCUUCAUUUUUGUUGUAAUUGUUAGAUUUGGGGAUUUUUAUUGGUAUUGCAAAUUUUAUAUGGUUUCCCAAGGUGUCUUAUAGUAAAUGAUUGGGAGCAUGAUCAUAUAUGUUGUUCGGAGGCCUACACUAUAGUUCGGAUUAAAAGUGAGACUAUCUUGGUUGGUCCAUAGACAGCCAAGCAAAGGGUGCAUGAUUAUAAUUAUUACCUGAGAGAAAGGGUGGAACAUGGCGAUUAAUCUUUCCCAUGUUUGGUCUUGUGUUCGCUUAUCCAAUUUGUCUGCUAUGCCAGGAUCAGUUCUCAGAAUCAGCUCUAUACGCAAGACAAUGAAGCUUCUACCUAUUCUACUACUACACGCAGCUGGUAUAUGUUAAGUUUCUCGAGCCGGUAAAUUUGAAAUGCCUGGUUCUAGAGUGCCCAUUUAAUGGGCACACGUCUUAGCGAGUGGGUUCUGGAAGCCAGGGGACCAAAAUUGGCGAACCCGUGUGCAUACCAAUAACUGUUUUGCAUGCACCAGCCACCAAGUGGCCUUUCACGUUGCAGCGCCGUUAGUAUACAGUUGGGAUAUGCUAUGCAACGACUAUCAACAAGUGCCAAGGUCAGACACUUCAGAAUGUCGGGGUCAGACACUUCAGAAGGCCGGGGUUAGACACUUUAGAAGGUCAGACACUUUAGAAGGUUGGGGUCAGACACUUCAGAAGGUCGGGGUCAGACACUUUAGAAGGUCAGACACUACAGAAGGUUGGGGUCAGACACUUUAGAAUGUCAGACACUUCAGAAGGUCGGGGUCAGACACUUCAGAAGGUCAGGGUCAGACACUUUAGAAGGUCAGACACUUCAGAAGGUCGAGGUUUAUGUUGCGAUUUCAAGGGUAAUAUCAAGGGAAGGGCUUGUGCUAGCGCUUGAUGAAUCUGGCAAGGCAACUACCUAUACAACAAACAUAGUGUACAGGGAGGUCCUUGGCUAUCUAUAAGUGUUCUUUCCUACGGAGGUGGCGUUUUGGCUCAUAGGAGCA